rnacentral:rRNA from 1 species
GAAGAAAGAGGGGGGAGGGAGGAACACAUGCAAGUCGAACGGAAAGGCCCUGCUUUUGUGGGGUGCUCGAGUGGCGAACGGGUGAGUAACACGUGAGUAACCUGCCCUUGACUUUGGGAUAACUUCAGGAAACUGGGGCUAAUACCGGAUAGGAGCUCCUGCUGCAUGGUUGGGGUUGUAAAGUUUCGGCGGUUGGGGAUGGACUCGCGGCUUAUCAGCUUGUUGGUGGGGUAGUGGCUUACCAAGGCUUUGACGGGUAGCCGGCCUGAGAGGGUGGCCGGCCACAUUGGGACUGAGAUACGGCCCAGACUCCUACGGGAGGAAGCAGUGGGGAAUAUUGCAAAAUGGGCGGAAGCCUGAUGCAGCAACGCCGCGUGCGGGAUGACGGCCUUCGGGUUGUAAACCGCUUUCGCCUGUGACGAAGCGUGAGUGACGGUAAUGGGUAAAGAAGCACCGGCUAACUACGUG